AGAGCGGCCAUUGCAACUUGAGGCGUCAGAAUGUGCGGAGUGAGUGUAGUGUGGAGCGGUGGAGUUGAUAAUCGAUUUAGAGCCAGAUUCGCAAAAGUUAGUGUUGGAUCGAUGAUUGAAUUAAAAUUGAAAUUUUCGAACGACAUCAGUUAUGGAUGACAAUACCACCAAGAGUUGAUGCUUUUCUAAUAUACUACAAUUAAAAUUGAUGCUUGGGAGUUGGAAAACCAAACGCAGAUAAUCAGUGCAAGAAUUACUAUAUCUUCUUUUUUAAAGACUGAUUUUUACAAAUUCAAAGAAGCCUGAUUUGGCUUGGCUUAUGAACCUUAGUAUACAUUAGUGUUUUUAAUAUUUUUUAAAUUUCAUCACAUGAUUUAGAUACAAAUUGACGUUCGAUUUGCUUUAUAAUUUGAUUCUAUUCUUGUCUUGUUGUACAUUAUUCAUCUUUCUGAAUAUUUACUGUUUCCUUAUUUUACUGUUUUACCAGAACUUAGUAUAAAUUAGUGUCUUUAAUAUUUUUUUUUAAUUUGAACAUCAAAUUCACGUACAAAUUGACAUUCUAUUUGCUCUAAAAUUUGUUUCUAGUUUUCUCUUAGUGUUGCAUAUUUUUGUACAUACCGAUCGAAGCCAAAAAUCGAAAAUGGAUUUAUUUCAAAUAAUAAUGCUCAUAUUAAUUAUCUGCAUUAUUAAUUUGCUCUUAGCAUAUUCUAGACUUAAUAGUUUUCUUUUGUAUUUGGAUCAAUAUACUACCAAUGAAACUGCUGUAGAAAGCUCCUCUUACCAUAUUUACAAUUACACCAAAUUUAUGAAUUAUUCCAAGUUUUUUUAAAGUUAUAUAAACAUUGAAUAUUAAAGCUGAACAAAUCACUUCUGAAUACUGCGGAAAUGAAUAUAUCCGUUAUGUCACUGUAAUCAAUUCCAAAGUGCAGCGAUCAACACCCGAAUCGAUUGCAACUGUUCAGGAAAAUUCACUAUAAAUAUCUUGGAACAUGUUAUACGUGGAUGUGUAAACCGACGGGAUCCAUAAGUGGCUGAUUAACAUGUAUUCGAGAAUUGCCCACAGGAUUAUCAGGGAUAUGGAGGCAAAUGGGCGGCACGAAUCGACGCAUGCACUUUGCUUCGUGCACUCGACUUUGAACUCGUAAAAUAUCUUUGCACCGAAACUUUAAGAUUAAAUGAAAGGAAACAAUUUAAUAGCGUUUCAAUUACAAGUGAGUCAUCCACGGAUAAAUGUUUCAGCGUUUCAUAAUUGCGCUCUUGCCCUGACUCCAUUUUCCUCUGUCCUCUUCAAACUAAUAUAUCUAUUCUUCGAUACCUGUUUUCUUUAUUUAUGAGGUGUUUUCCAAAAGGGGAUCUAGGAUUUUGUUUUCCAAUAUCAAAAUACGUUUGUCAGCGUAGGUGUUGAAGAUACUUAAACAUCAUCUUCAAUGUUUAAUUGUGCUCAUGUGUGCUUUCUUUUAAAAUAAACAAAACUGGAAUAUAUUUCAUAACACCUGUUGGCGCCAGGACUUAAAACUAAUGUGUAAUCUAUGUUAUUAUUUUAAUGCAACAUGGAUUUUCAAUUAAAAAGUCUGAAAAAAUUCUGA